UAGUCGGCGUUCACAUAUUUCACGGUGGUGGCAGUCGGCACAGUGUUUACGGUGGCAUAUAGCGUCUUCUGAUUCAUCAGAUGCUAGGUGUUUCUGAGAAAGCCUGCUUAGUGGUGGAAGAUAGUGUUAUUGGCCUACAGGCAUCAACAAAAGCUGGAAUGUCUUGUGUGAUUACCUACACAUCUUCAACCGCAGAAUAGGACAUUACA